rnacentral:lncRNA from 1 species
UAUAUAGAAAGAGAGAGAGAGAUGUAGGUAUAUAUAUAUAUAAAUAUAUAUAUAUAUAGAGAGAGAGAGAGAGAGAGAGAGAGUAGGGUUAGAAUACUUGUAAAAGUAUCAUGGGGGUGAUACUUGUGUGUUUUUAGCCCUUGGAUGGAGAGAUGUGAGGUUGAGAUGAUGGUGGUAGGUGGUGGUAGGUGGUGGUAGGUGGAAUAGUGUUUAAUCCAAGGGCUAUUAAUAAUCAAAAAGUAGAUCCAAUGGCUUAAAACCUAAUAGCACCAUGAUGGUGAUACUUGUAAAAGUAUCAUAGCUCAACUCUAUAUAUAUAUAUAUAUAUCA